UUGGGAUCCAGUGCAGACAACUCAAGACAUCUUUAUUACAUGGAACCCUGUUAUUUUGUCCGGCUUCAGUUCCUCUCUGAUCUUUAUUCUGAGCUGUAACGUAACAUACCUAUUGGCGGAAACAUAGAUUUUGGGUACGCAAAAUAUUUCGGGAAUGAGCAGAAAUGAGCCAGUAUUUCACCUUGUUCCAGAUAUUAAAAUGGAUGAUCAAGAAUAUUUUUUAAGGUCAACAAAAGUCAGUACAGUUGCGAUUUUUAAUAGCUGGACACACCAAAUUCUCGCCAGAUUGGGGAUUUGGCCUGAUUAAGCAGGUAUAUCGCAAGACAGGAGUCUUUUCAGUUGCUGGUGGUAUUGUCAUUAGGGAGCAUUGCCAAAUUAUCCUGUGACAGCAAGGCUAACUGUGGUAAUGAGCUAUAGCAAGAUUUAUUCAAUGGAGCGUGUCUUGACUACCGCGAGCUACCGCAAGCAUGGAGUAUUAAUUAUCCAAUGCCCAAGGCAAGGUUAUUGCAAUUACUGUAUGCAGCUCAGUCAGCUGGGAAAGUUACAGCGAUAGCUCGAAAAUACUAGCCUACGCCAAAAAUGAAAUAAUUUGAAAGAACAACUUUGAUUAAAAGAAGCUAAAGAAUAAAUAUUCAAAAAUUAAGGAGAUGCAUUAUAGGCCUAGGUAAGAAAUAGUAAAGGGAAAAGACUUACUGUACAAAUAACACCAACGGC